GGCAUUAUUGAGCACUUUAACAGGGCAAUAUAUUAGUUGGAUGAGACGUGGGUCAAUACAGGUGAGGUGCAUAGCAGAGCGUGGAUUGAUACCACAGUCACAUCAUCAAGGGAUGCAUUCCUCAGAGGCCUCACCACAGGACAUAAGGAACGCUCAAAGGUAAGCGUCUUUGUAUUACACAUCGGGUCGUCAGACAGUUUUGUCCCGGGGGCCUUUUGUGUUCUGAAUCCAAACCCCAAUUCUACUAUCAUGAUAAGUUAAAUGGCGAUACGUUUUAUGAACGGUUUGUUAAAACCCUGUUGUAAAAAACGAUUUAAUGAAAAAAGUUAACAAAAUAAAAAAUCAGUACAACCAAUAUGCAAUUGAUGAGUACGCAAAAGAGAAUAAUAAAAUCAUAUUGCGAUUGACAUUUUAUCGAACAUAUCCAAAAAGUGGAAGACAAUUUUUAGGAUAUAGAACAUAUAACCGACGAAAUAAUGGAAAAACUAUCCGAAGAAGGUCAUGUUCUAAUGAUAGGAACAGGUGACACAAGUUCUGCUGAUUGUGCCUCUCAUUGAUUUCAUUGUGCUUUAACUAUUUU